rnacentral:misc_RNA from 1 species
CUGAGUGAGGGCCCCUCGGGGUCCAACCUCCCACCCGUGUUUAACGAACCGUGUUGCUUCGGCGGGCCCGCCCCUGGGCCGCCGGGGGGCAUCCGCCCCCGGGUCUGCGCCCGCCGAAGCCCCCAUGAACGCUGUCUGAAGUAUGCAGUCUGAGACAAUUAUUAAAUUAAUUA